GUGCCCAUCGAUUAGUGGUUAAAUCACUUCGUUGUGGAUUUUCUGUAACCGAAGAGCCCCGCGUUCGACUCGCGGUGGGCACA